GGCAGUUUGACCUUCAGAUAAAGCUAAGAAGGGUGAUGGGAAAGGAAUAAUUUCCCAGGGAGGAUUGAAAGGUCAAGGGAAAAAGGAACCAGAGAACAUCUCCCAGAGAAUCAGGGUCCCCUGCAUGGUAGAACACCUCACAGUUUUCUUAGUGUGAAAUAUGAACUCAUGAGCAUCUGGCCUGGGAACUGGACCAGUUUUAAAUCUCGUGUUGAGAGCCGGAAGAUGCUGGAGAAGGAAUGUGGUGGAAUGACUGCCUGAGAAUGAACCAUUCUCCAGUGAGAGGGGGCUUCGAUAUUGAAAGGGCAAUUUGGCCUUAACUUGGAAAUGCUGGAGAUUGAUUGCAUACAAUCUGUCCUGCUAGUGAGAGAAGCAAGGACUGCAUCUAAGUGCAACAUGAAGACUUUUGGUCCCAAGCUUUCCUCCAACUUCAGUGGGAGGCAGCCCAAAACCACCGUCGGUUCAAGAAUACAAGUGACCUGCAAUUCUUGGAAAGACUCCCCCAAUUCUUCUCCCAAUAUGUGGUCAGCUUUUCCAGCAGGAUUAGGGAGGGAGGAGUUUCAGCUGUGCUUCUAAGAUCUUCCAGAAUGAAUUUUCUACCUCAAAAAUCAAGGACUUUUCUGGAAACUGCAGUCAGAGGACAGAACAUCAGCCUCAAGCUGGAAAAACAUUUAUUUUGUGGUGGGGUGUGUACCUCAGUAUUCCCUGUGCUAGAAGAAAAGAAGCACUUUCAAGGAAGAGAAAUGGAAAUGUAAAGGAGAAGGCCUGCCAGUUCCUACGAAUGAGAAAUGAUCUUCCACCAUCACUAAGCACACUUACGGUUAACAUCGCGAACAUCAGCUGACACACGUUGAAGCUCCAUGAACAUCCGGAGAGCAGCUGUGAUCAUGGCAUCAACGUCGAGAGAAAAGUCAUCAAAAUGAAUGUCAUCGAUGGCAAGUUCUGACACCAGAGGGAUGUUGGCUGCCUAGAAAAGCAAAAGACAUAAGUCAAGCCAAGUUCACCAGCUUUCCCAAACCCCCAUCCUGCUCUCCUCCCCUGCUUAUCAGAAGUGCCACAUAAAUCAGGCCUGACCUGCACUUACACCCUGAUACAGCUAAACUCUGAGCUGUAAAUGUCUUUUGUUUCUGAACUGCAAAUGCCCCAAGCAAAUGAAGGUGGGGGCAGGGUUGGGGGCGGGGGGAGGGAAACUAAUCUGAAGAUAAAAUACACGCACUGGAUCUAGCCUGCAGAAUUUAUAAUACAGAACUGUCAAGUUUAUGGAAACUGUGGUCAUACAAUAUAUUCUGAUGCAUAUUACAGAGCACUAAAUGCAAGAAACAUCUGGGCAGCCAGCAGCUGUGAAUUUUAAUUGAUGCUAUUCAGGAGAAGGAGAAGGGAAUACACCACUUUGCCUUGUUUCUUAUAUCCUUAUAUCCUGUAGCUUGCACGUGUUCUUUGUUACACACGUGUUCUGUAUAUUCAGAAUGAUCGAAAGGAUCAGACAGCACAUCUCUGGUGGGAAAUAUGUUGCCUUAAUAAAAUAGAGAUAUCUGAAGGUUUAGCAUAAGCCUAUGUUUCACUGAGGAGAUCAAUUUUGCUUUCUUGUUUAGCUUCAUUCUAUAUAAACAUCACAACAUAAUUACAAUACUGGUCAUACAUAUUCAAGGUUUUCAAAACACCCAUGUUAGGCAACUGUCAAUCAGCUGCCCACAAACGAGCCUAAAGAGGAGAA
rnacentral:lncRNA from 10 species